UACAGAGGUCCCGAGCGUUGUUCGGAUUCAUUGGGCGUAAAGGGUGCGUAGGCGGCGGGGCAAGUCUGAUGUGAAAUCCCGGGGCUCAACCCCGGAACUGCAUUGGAUACUGCCUUGCUGGAGUACUGGAGAGGGAACUGGAAUUUACGGUGUAGCAGUGAAAUGCGUAGAGAUCGUAAGGAAGGCCAGUGGCGAAGGCGAGUUCCUGGACAGUUACUGACGCUGAGGCACGAAGGCCAGGGGAGCAAACGGG
rnacentral:rRNA from 1 species